UUGAACUGAAGAGAAGAUUGGAGCUUGUGCAUAAAUAGGGCAAGCUCUUGAAGAUCUUAAGAAGAGUUCUAUGAAGCUUCAGAAGUGAUGAGAAGCUGAUAUAAGGUUGGGACAAUGGCUAAGAACAGUUCAGAUAGAAGUGGAGUAGUCUUUGGAUGAGUUAAGGAGAGAAAGGUAGAUGGUGCAAAGAUAGGGACAGCCAUGUACGGCCAUGUACGGAUGGUACGGCCCGGGAAGGACAUGGCUGAUCCAAAAGAGUUUCUAUCAAGUCUUGGGAGGUUUUGGAGUUGUGCAAAGAUAGGGCGCAAUGUGAGAGAAGCAACCCUAAUCCGUACACUCAGCUGAUGAAGACUUGUGAUACAAGGCAUGAAGAAGGUUUGGGGAACAAGUGGGCAAGAGAGCAAAGAUCCUAAAGGCAUAU
rnacentral:lncRNA from 1 species